rnacentral:rRNA from 1 species
UACAGGGGGUGCAAACGUUGCUCGGAAUCAUUGGGCGUAAAGCGCACGUAGGCGGUCUGUUAUGUCGGAUGUGAAAGCCCUUGGCUUAACUGAGGAAGUGCAUCCGAAACUGGCAGGCUAGAGUACUAAAGAGGGUCGCGGAAUUCCCGGUGUAGAGGUGAAAUUCGUAGAUAUCGGGAGGAACACCAGUGGCGAAGGCGACUACCUGGCCUGUUCUUGACGCUGAGGCGCGAAAGCUAGGGGAGCAAACGGG